UUUUUCCAUGGACAGAAUCAAAGUCGCUGGGUGUACAUGUAGUCUUCCGAGUUACUCGUCAGCCCUGAUGAUCCAUCGAAUAUACAGGAAUGUAUGAUAGAUGCAGAAUCACCGAAGGGUCGAUUUAAAAGUAAUCGAAGGCUGGAGGAAACAUAUGCAAUGUGUUGAACGCCA